GACGAACGCUGGCGGCGUGCCUAAUACAUGCAAGUAGAACGCUGAAGCGAGGAGCUUGCUCUUCUUGGAUGAGUUGCGAACGGGUGAGUAACGCGUAGGUAACCUGCCUUGUAGCGGGGGAUAACUAUUGGAAACGAUAGCUAAUACCGCAUAACAAUGGAUGACACAUGUCAUUUAUUUGAAAGGGGCAAUUGCUCCACUACAAGAUGGACCUGCGUUGUAUUAGCUAGUAGGUGAGGUAAUGGCUCACCUAGGCGACGAUACAUAGCCGACCUGAGAGGGUGGUCGGCCACACUGGGACUGAGACACGGCCCAGACUCCUACGGGAGGCAGCAGUAGGGAAUCUUCGGCAAUGGGGGCAACCCUGACCGAGCAACGCCGCGUGAGUGAAGAAGGUUUUCGGAUCGUAAAGCUCUGUUGUAAGUCAAGAACGGGUGUGAGAGUGGAAAGUUCACACUGUGACGGUAGCUUACCAGAAAGGGACGGCUAACUACGUG
rnacentral:rRNA from 1 species